CGGACGGGUGAGUAACGCGUGAGAAUCUGGCUUCAGGUCUGGGACAACCACUGGAAACGGUGGCUAAUACCGGAUGUGCCGAAAGGUGAAAGGUUAACUGCCUGAAGAUGAGCUCGCGUCUGAUUAGCUAGUUGGUAGAGUAAAAGCCUACCAAGGCGACGAUCAGUAGCUGGUCUGAGAGGACGAUCAGCCACACUGGGACUGAGACACGGCCCAGACUCCUACGGGAGGCAGCAGUGGGGAAUUUUCCGCAAUGGGCGAAAGCCUGACGGAGCAAUACCGCGUGAGGGAGGAAGGCUCUUGGGUCGUAAACCUCUUUUCUCAGGGAAGAACACAAUGACGGUACCUGAGGAAUAAGCAUCGGCUAACUCCGUGCCAGCAGCCGCGGUAAUACGGAGGAUGCAAGCGUUAUCCGGAAUGAUUGGGCGUAAAGCGUCCGCAGGUGGCUGUGUAAGUCUGCUGUUAAAUAGUGAGGCUCAACCUCAUAAAGGCAGUGGAAACUACACGGCUAGAGUGCGUUCGGGGCAGAGGGAAUUCCUGGUGUAGCGGUGAAAUGCGUAGAGAUCAGGAAGAACACCGGUGGCGAAAGCGCUCUGCUAGGCCGCAACUGACACUGAGGGACGAAAGCUAGGGGAGCGAAUGGGAUUAGAUACCCCAGUAGUC
rnacentral:rRNA from 1 species